AUUGAACGCUGGCGGCAUGCCUUACACAUGCAAGUCGAACGGUAACAGGUCUUCGGACGCUGACGAGUGGCGAACGGGUGAGUAAUACAUCGGAACGUGCCCAGUCGUGGGGGAUAACUACUCGAAAGAGUAGCUAAUACCGAAUACGAUCUGAGGAUGAAAGCGGGGGACCUUCGGGCCUCGCGCGCUUGGACCGGCCGAUGGCAGAUUAGGUAGUUGGUGGGAUAAAAGCUUACCAAGCCGACGAUCUGUAGCUGGUCUGAGAGGACGACCAGCCACACUGGGACUGAGACACGGCCCAGACUCCUACGGGAGGCAGCAGUGGGGAAUUUUGGACAAUGGGCGAAAGCCUGAUCCAGCAAUGCCGCGUGCAGGAUGAAGGCCUUCGGGUUGUAAACUGCUUUUGUACGGAACGAAAAAGCUCCUUCUAAUACAGGGGGCCCAUGACGGUACCGUAAGAAUAAGCACCGGCUAACUACGUGCCAGCCGCCGCGGUAA
rnacentral:rRNA from 1 species